rnacentral:rRNA from 1 species
UACGUAGGGCGCAAGCGUUGUCCGGAAUUAUUGGGCGUAAAGAGCUCGUAGGCGGUCUGUUACGUCCGCUGUGAAAACCCAGGGCUUAACCCUGGGCUUGCAGUGGAUACGGGCAGACUAGAGGCAGGUAGGGGAGAAUGGAAUUCCCGGUGUAGCGGUGAAAUGCGCAGAUAUCGGGAGGAACACCAGAGGCGAAGGCGGCGACCUGGACAGAUACUGACACUCAACUACGAAAGCGUGGGGAGCAAACAGG